UAGGGAAUCUUCGGCAAUGGACGAAAGUCUGACCGAGCAACGCCGCGUGAGUGAAGAAGGUUUUCGGAUCGUAAAACUCUGUUGUUAGAGAAGAACAAGGACGUUAGUAACUGAACGUCCCCUGACGGUAUCUAACCAGAAAGCCACGGCUAACUACGUGCCAGCAGCCGCGGUAAUACGUAGGUGGCAAGCGUUGUCCGGAUUUAUUGUGCGUAAAGCGAGCGCAGGCGGUUUCUUAAGUCUGAUGUGAAAGCCCCCGGCUCAACCGGGGAGGGUCAUUGGAAACUGGGAGACUUGAGUGCAGAAGAGGAGAGUGGAAUUCCACGUGUAGCGGUGAAAUGCGUAGAGAUCUGGAGGAAGACCGGUGGCGAAGGCGGCCCCCUAGACGAAGACUGACGCUCAGGUGCGAAAGCGUGGGGAGCAAACAGG
rnacentral:rRNA from 1 species